CCUACGGGAGGCAGCAGUAGGGAAUAUUGCGCAAUGGGGGAAACCCUGAAGCAGCAACGCCGCGUGGAUGAUGAAGGUUUUAGGAUUGUAAACUCCUUUUGUUAGAGAAGAUUAUGACGGUAUCUAACGAAUAAGCACCGGCUAACUCCGUGCCAGCAGCCGCGGUAAUACGGAGGGUGCAAGCGUUACUCGGAAUCACUGGGCGUAAAGAGUGCGUAGGCGGGGUAAUAAGUCGGAUGUGAAAGCCUGUAGCUUAACUACAGAACUGCAUUUGAAACUGUUACUCUGGAGUGCGGGAGAGGUAGGUGGAAUUCUUGGUGUAGCGGUGAAAUCCGUAGAGAUCAGGAGGAAUACUAGUUGCGAAGGCGACUUGCUGGAACAUAACUGACGCUGAUGCGCGAAAGCGUGGGGAGCAAACAGGAUUAGAUACCCGUGUAGUC
rnacentral:rRNA from 1 species